UCCACGGGGAAUCGAACCCCGAUCACUCACUUGGCAAGCGAGUAUUCUACCGUUGAACCAU
rnacentral:tRNA from 1 species